UGGCAGGCAGGUUCUUUACCAUUAACGCCACCAAAAGAGCUUACGGAACAAAUUAAGAGAUUUUACUUUUGCGCUCUAAGAGGGAAAAGAGGAAGGAGAAAGAAAUGUUAAUUGGUAGUUGUACUUUAAAAUGUCAAUCAUAAACAUCCAUAUCAUAGGCUGAAGUAUCCCACAUGCCUGUUUAAUUCUAAUGGAAAUAACAUGAGCUAAUUUUGCCGAAAGAGCUCUUUAAUUAUCUCUAUUGGAAAAACUUCAGCAAAAGGCAAAGUUCAAAUACUCAGCUAAUUUAUAGUGGUUGAGAAAAGCUUAAUGCCUAAAAACAGUGAAAUAAAUUUAGAUUUAUUGUGGGUAAUAAUGGAUAAUCACAACCAUUCCAAUAUAUUCCAUGAUGGCAUAACAUUACAUAAGCCGCAUUAUAUUUAUUAUGAACAUCUGGCGUACUGUACGCUAUUCAGAUAACUUUAAUUAAACCAGCCUCCAAGCUCCCAUAUAAAGUGAUGGCGGCUCCAAAGAGAACAGCCAGCAUGUUGGUGAACGACUCAGCCUGAGAGGCUGUCAGCUUCAAGUUAGUGCCUGUUCUGAAACGGAGCAGGGUCCUAUGGUCUACAUCCCCAUGUCCUCUGCCUGCUUUUGUCUGAGGAGAAAAAACUCUAGCUGAAGAAGAGAAAGGUGAGAAAAUGAAGAAGCAAAGGAAAGCAGUCAGACAGGACAAAACCAUUACAGUUUAGUCAGUAAGGAAAGUCAAGGCCCUUUAUUUCCUCCUCACAGGCUAUGGAUAAUAUUCUAAGCCGUGUCCUGUGAGCUGUCUUACAGAGGCUGAAACCCCCACCAGGUGGGAGAAGUUAGCUGCACAUGACCAGACCACGGCUGUGACAAAGCUGCCACCAUUCUGAGAACCAGCCUCAAGAAAUGGGAAGAAACCUGACCUGGAACUGAAGACCAACUGUACCUGAGACAAUCAAGACGACACUCGUCAGACCACCGGUGACCACUCUCAGAACUACCACGCCCCACAGAGGGAAGACUAGCAUCCUUCAUUCCAGACAAAAGGAACUACAGAAACUUAUCAGACCACCUGAGAGCAAAGAGGCUGAUCUUCCCAUUCAAUGAUUAGCGUGGCAAGGCAGCCGUCUCCAGGGGAUUAUUGCAGCGCAGUUUCAGAAGCGUGUGCUACAGUGGCCAGUGGCAAAUCAUCGGAACCUCUGCUACUGAAACAGUUAUAGUCCUUUGAAAAUAGUUUAUCACAAGAAGUCUAUCUUACAGAAAAAUUCCAAAUACUGUAUGUUGGCACACUGGCUCUGGAGGUUGUUGCUGGAUCUUCCUCACCUUGAGUGUGAUCUGGACAGACUGAACUCCUUGCCAACAACAGAGUCUGGGAAAGGAAGCUGAGCAACUUAUAGUGGACAUACCUGGCAAUGUCACCUGAACUGCAUGAUCAAGGUCAACUUCACCAGCAAUGCCAUAGGGCUUCUAUAAACCCCGUGGUGAGAAGCAGUUGAAAAGUACCUCAACUUUGUGAUCUAUUUCUGCAAAACCCAUAACUCCAGUCUAAUGGUGGGAAGACAUCAGAGAGACACCAAACACUUCAGCAUUCUUCAAAACUCUCUACUUCCCAAGAACAAGGAGAAACCAAGAAAUGUACUCAUUGAAUGAGACAAGAGGACCAAGGCAAUGUAUGAUCCUGGACUGGGUCGUGGAACAGAAAAUGAACAGUAGUAAAAAGACUGGGAAAAUUCAGAUACGAUCUGCAGUUAACAGUUUUGUGUGAAUAUUAUUUGUUUUCUUCUUGAUGUGCUCAGUUGUGUCAGACUCUUUAUGACCCCAUGAAC